ensembl:rRNA 5S_rRNA 5S ribosomal RNA
GCUUACGGCCAUACCACCUUAGGCACGCCCGAUCUCGUCUCGGAAGCUAAGCAGGGUCGGGCCUGGUUAGUACUUGGAUGGGUGACCGCCUGGGAAUACCAGGUGCUGUAAGCA